GACGAACGCUGGCGGCGUGCCUAACACAUGCAAGUCGAACGGAAAGGCCCUGCUCUUGUGGGUUGCUCGAGUGGCGAACGGGGGAGUGACACGUGAGUAACCUGCCCUUGACUUUGUGAUAUCAUCAGGAAACUGGGGCUAAUACCGGAUAGGAUCUCCUGCAGCAUGGUGGGGGUUGGAAAGUUUCGGCGGUUGGGGAUGGACUCGCGGCUUAUCAGCCUGUUUGUGGGGUAGGGGAUUUCCAAGGCUUUGACGGAUAGGCGGCAUGGGAGGGUGACCGGCGUCAAUGGGACUGAGGGACGGCGCAGUCUGGAACGGGAGGCAGCAGUCGAGAACAUUGCACAAUGGGGCGAAGUCUGAUGCGGCGACGCUGCGUUCGGGAUGACGUGCUUCGGGGUGUGAACCGCUUUCGCCGGUGCCGAAGCGGGAGUGACGGUAAUGGGUAAAGAAGCACCGGCUAACUACGUG
rnacentral:rRNA from 1 species